UAUUUAUUGAAUAUUCUAUCUAGUCUUUAUACACAUUUCGACGUCUUAGAAGUCGUUUGAAAUUUAAAGGGUUAAAAGCGUCGGAUAAGACGUUCGUGUUUUAUUAUAACAAUGUCUAACCGAGAAUAUCCUGAAGUAUUUGGUCGUUUUGAGAGAACAGUCGAAGAUGGAACAAUUUUGACAUUCGAAAUUUCAGAUAUUCCAGAGUCAAUGUGGAGUACUGCGGUUGAAUUUAUGCUGGGAAAUUACAUAAGAGAAGAUGUUUGGUGGACUACGGUAGGCACGGCGAAGAGUCUUGAGGCUGUGCAAGAGUACAGAGUGCUACUGACAUCGAUCGUUAAGCAGAAAAUGAGUUUGGCAUGCUUCCUCGCCGCCGGAGACGGUUCAGGACACACGCUUGUCGGUGUCAACAUUUGCUUGCCACAAGAAAAGGGACGCUUCAUUGAACACACCCCGCCCAAAACGAAGGCAGGUUUGGUAUCGCUACGUAUGUUCGUGGAAGCUAUGAAAGUGACAGUGAUAUAUGAUAAAUACAACGUGAAUGAAUAUCUCAUGGGAGCUGGCCUUUCUGUAACACCAGAAUACAGGGGUCUCGGCAUUGGCGUGGAAUUACUGAAAGCAAGAUUGAAACUAACAAAGACUUUAGGUCUUAGAGCAACUGGUGGCAUAUUUACAAGUAUGCAGGCGCAACGAGUGGCAGAAAAAGCGGGCAUGGAGUGUUUGUAUGAAAUAGCAUAUAAAAAGUUCGGGAAACAAUGCCAUGUAACGUUUGACACUGAUACAGAGUAUUUAAAAAUAUUCGGAAAAAGUGUUGAAAAUUAAGGAAAUCUGUUAAUUUAACAGCUUUUCUUGUAACGACACCCAGAGAUUUAUUUCAGGACUAAACAACAGUGUUAACAAAAGGACGUGACAUGACGUCAUUUCAAAGGUUUAAGACUUCUGCGAUUAAUAGUCUGUGGGGCCCGACUUUAUGACUCUUCUGAGAAUAGCAGGGAUGAUAAAUGAUCUCCAUUUCUGUGGACUAUAACUGGCUGGACUUUAAUUUAAACGAUAAGUAAGUCAUAUACUAUUUGAAGAGAAUACGGCCGCAUGAUUAUUAUAUAAGAGUAUGCUUUCUUGUUAUUCUUCAAUGUUACUUAAUGUACUUAAAUAUUCAUUUAUUUGUCGCAAAGCUCGAAAACAAUAAUCUCAGUAUUAUAAAUUAACUCACUGUGAGUGGGGCAAGUCACUCUCCUAAUCUCUUAUAUAGAAAUCUGAAGUUGAUAAAUUAUUGUUGUGCGUUUA
rnacentral:misc_RNA from 1 species